AAGUUAAUAAUUCUUGACCGUGAUCCAAUCAAAAUAUUAAAUUCUUCUUUAAUCUUUACAAUUUUAUCUUAAAUAAAAAUAAAACAUCCAUAAAACAAAUACAAACACACCUAUACACUUUCACUAUAUUUUCUUUCUCUUUUCCUUUCCUUUUCUUUUUUGUUUUUUACAUACACAAUUUUUACAUGUAAAACAAAUAACAAAAAUUCAAAAUAAAUCAAAUACAAUAAUAUCUAAAUAUACACAUCAUCUGAAAGUUACAACAAAAAACACAAAGAAAUCCUCGGGAACAGUGCUGCACAGCCUUGGUGUCGUCUGAACAGUAGUGGCGCGUUGCUCCACGCGCCUCCGCCACUGGAGGCGCGUGGGUUCACGCGCCGCCGCCGAUGAAGACCGAAAACCAGUGGAUCGGGAACGUCUUCUUCUUCCCUGUCUUCCUCCGCCGGCGGUGAGGGUCACCGUCACCUGCAACAACAAGAAAAAACGCACAAAAAAGCAGUCGGUUUUAAUUCUUUUGUUUUGCAGAUCUGCUUCUCUUCGCAUCUCGAUUUUCUUUUCGUUUCCCCUUGUUUCUCUGUUUCAAGCGGCCGGCGGUGUGACCAUAGGGCUGCUGGCCUUUGGGUUUUGUCCGGUCUGCAGCUGUCGGUGGCCGGUGAACCUGUGGACGGCGCUGUGCAGGAGGAACUGGAGGAAGACGGCGGACAGAUCCAAGUCUGUGAGUGCCGCUGUGUUCGGGCUGGUCUGGAGGUUGUGAACGGGACUCCUGCUGCUGCUGCUGUGUGGCUUGAUGGAGGGAAAUCGGAGAGCUUGAGAGAGAGGGGCUCUCGGGUGAAGAAGGAGAUGGGAUGUGAUGUGGUUGUGGCUGUUGUGUUUUGUGUGAUGUGAGGCUGUGAGCGGCGGCUGGCUGAGAGAGGGAAGAAUGGUGGUUGGCUGGAACAGAGGGCGCGGCCGAGAGGGAGAGAGGCAGAGGAAGAUGGUGAGCGGCGGGGGAAAAAGGAGAAGGAAAAUGAAAGCCACCGGGGGCGCGCUGUCGAUUCUGGUUUCUUUUGGCCAAGGGGCUGUGAGCGGCUGCUGGGUGAGGGGGAGAUGGCCGGCUGUCAAGAGGGAGACGAGUGCAGGCGGCUGAAGAGGAAAAAUCUGCAAAACCAAAGGAGGGAGGGGGGCGGCGGCUCUCCUUGAAAAAAAAAGAUGGGUCUAGGUUUAGGUUUUUUGUAUUUUUUCUGAUGUUGUCAAAAUUGUCCCCCCCUCUUGAAAAAAAUGUAUAGCAUGGUAUUUAUAGGAAAAGUUUUGCUAGGUUUUCAAACUAGUCCCUCAACUUUUCCUUUCCUUCUCUUUUCCUCUUUUUUUUUGUAAAUUUUGAUUUUUCUUAUUUUUUGUAUUUUUGAAAGCGAGCAAAUAUCAACAUCGACUCAAUGCGGAAAAUCAAUGAUUUUAAAAAUGACGCGUGAAAAGUUGAACGCGUUCCAAAUGUCUUUGAAAAAUUAAAUUCUUUUGAGACGAUGCUAAAAAAUGCUAAAAACGAUACAAAUGUAUAAAAAAUGUAUUUUUUGGAUUUUCAAUGUUUUUUCGCUAGUUUUGGAUUUUUCAAUUUUUAUCAAAACAUGGGUCAAAAAUUGGGUAGCAACAGAUGCCCCCUCUUUACAAUGCUUACGAAGCAAAACUCCUCAAUGUUUCGCAUAGUAAGCUUUGUAAAGAAAAACUCUAAAUGUUCCUUUUUUUUUUGUGUGAGAUCCCAUCGGGCGAUCUCCUUGAACCAAAACCAAAAUCUGCGUGGUUGGGCUAACCUGAGAUCUCGUCCGACGAUCCCCUUUAACCAGAACCAAUAUCAUGUGUGUGGUUGGGCUAACCUGAGAUCCCGUCCGGCGAUCCCCUUUAACCAGAACCAACAUGAGAUCCCAUCUGGCGACCUCAUUAAACCAAAACUAAAAAAAUGUGUGUAACUCAGUCAACCUGAAAUCCCAUCUGGCGAUUCCCUUUAACCAAAGCUACAUGAGAUCCCAUCUGGCGACCUCACUAAAUGGAACUAAAAAAUGUGGUAGCUCGGUCAACCUGAAAUCCCAUCUGGCGAUUCCCUUUAACCAAAGCUACAUGAGAUUCCAUCUGGCGACCUCAUUAAACCAAAACAAAGAAUGUGGAACCAAUGGUCUCAUUAUAAUGGGUGACGAACCCAAGAAAAAUGAUGGUCUCAUUGUAUGGGUGACGAACCCAAGAAAAAUGAUGGUCUCAUUGUAUGGGUGACGAACCCCAGAAAAAUGAUGGUCUCAUUGUAUGGGUGACGAACCCCAGAAAAAAUGAUGGUCUCAUUGUAUGGGUGACGAACCCAAGAAAAAUGAUGGUCUCAUUGUAUGGGUGACGAACCCAAGAAAAAAGAUGGUCUCAUUGUAUGGGUGACUAACCCAAGAAAAAUGAUGGUCUCAUUGUAUGGGUGACCUACCCAAGAAAAAUAAUGUGGAAAACGGUCUCAUUAUGAUGGGUGACCUACCCAAAUGGAAAGAAUGUGAAGUGCGGUCUCAUUAUAAUGGGUGACCUACCCAGGUGGAAGAUAGAAAAAAUGUGAAGUGGUCGCGUUAUAAUGGGUGACCUACCCAGGUGGAAGAUAGAAAAAAUGUGAAGUGGUCUCAUUGUUAUGGGUGACCUACCCAGAUGGAAGAUGAGAAAAAUAUGAAGCGGUCUCAUUAUUAUGGGUGACCUACCCAUGUGGAGGAUAGAAAAAAUGUGAAAUGGUCUCAUUGUUAUGGGUGACCUACCCAACUGAAAGAUGUGAUGUGACAAGUGUGAAAAAUGGGACUUACCUGGCGAAGUCCUGAAGGGAUGGUAGAAGAAGGGCCGGAAAACUUGGUGCUUCUUGAUAAUUCUUGAUCGCAGGGUUUGAAAACUCGAUGCUUCCUGAUUGCAAGGUUGAUCUUUUCAUUUCUUUGAGAUUUUCCUAACAGUAAGGUUUAUCUCAUCUUCUUCCCGUUUCAAGGUCACAACCAUGAUUCUCUGUUAUUAUCAACUCAAUGAUUCUUUCUUUGUCCACAAUCUUGCUGGACUUCAUUGAGGAUCUUUCUGUAACAAAUCAUAAGUAUGUGCAAUGCUUUGAGGUUAGAUGACAUGCAUGCAUCCUUACCUGAUGUGAAAUAUAGCCCCCCCCUUUGAUGAUCCAUCGUCAUAGGGUGCCUUUGUUUGCAUUCCAAAGCUUUAUUGGUUCUUUCGAUGCAUUGGCUCAUUCAUGUGCUAGCCAUCCCCUCGGGUGUAAGUGCAGUGCACAUCCUGGGCUGUCUUCGACGGUUACUGCUCUUGCUGUUUAUCAAGCUUGACUCUGCCCCCAAGUGUGGUGUUGCUUGAUUCAUCGUGAAGGAUUUUCUCUCCUGGAUUCUUCUAAGAAUUAUCCUCUGAUUGGUUGUGUGCAUCAUGCCAACACCCAUCAUGAUUGUCCAUCAGUCAUAAACUUGCCUCAAGCUGAAACAAUACUCUUCAAGUAAUGUUAUCACCAGUCUUCAUGGAAAUUAUCCAAUCGUCCAGACAUGCAUCUCAUAGCUUGCAGUGAAAGACUCAUCGUUGUAUGCUCAAUGUUCUUUCUCAUGGAUUUCUCUCAGCUUGUCAAAUCAGAUAGUGAAAAGAAAUGCAGUGGCAUCAUCAAUGAUGUUCAUUUUAUCGCCCAUAUUCAUGCGAUGAAGUGCGCCUUCGAGCUUCAAAAAAGAUGGUCCCACAGUCAGUCUUGGUGAGUGCAUCCUUCCAAUAUUCACAACCAUGCGAUAACAUCGUUCAAAAGUCAUAGCCAUGUUGGAGAUGAUAAUAUGACAUUAUCCUUCAAGUACAACAUUGUUCCGCAAUCAAUCUUGGUGGUGUGCAUCUUUUCAUAUUCGUUCGAAUGCAACUGUAUGCCCACAUCGGUCGAUAGCCAUGUUUCAAAAGAUUUCCUUCAAGUGUAUCUUUGCUUUCCCGAUUGUUGACGGGGUUCACUAGAUCAUGGACUAUCUUUGAACAACAUUGCCCCCAAUAUGAUCUGAAUGUGCUCGUUCAUUGAUUAUCUUUCUUUGAACACCAUUGUCUUCAGUACACUGAUUCAUCAUUUAAUCAUCUUUCAUUGCCCCCAGCUGAUCUGAAUACUAUUUGUUUUCCUACCCAUGAUCCACUGUGUUGCCUCUAGGUGGUCAACUUUUCAAGGAGUGUCGAGAAAUGUUGAUGUCAUUCUUGUCAAGGAUUUUGCAAAUUCGGUCGAUGUUCUUGUUGUUUAACAAUCUUUCUUGUUUUGGAAUCAACUCUCAUAUUUCAAAGAUCAUGUCAAUUCAAGUCUAAUUGUUGAAAUGAAAUCAGAGAGAUAUCUAUUUUGGAAAAGAUCUUUUAAAUAUCAUGCUUUUUGGUCAAAGACCCAACACACAUCAUUCAAUGUAAUCCUUUGAUUGUCUUGUAUUUUGAAAACAGAAAUGGACCCGUUGUAAGUUUAAAAUGACUUUUUUCAUGGUUCUUUAUGUCAGUUUUAAUCUUUGAUCUUGGGUAUAUCUUUUCACGGUCUACAAUGAGGUGACCUUCUGUGAGUUUCAAGGAAAACAAAAGGCUCAAGUCAAAACUUGAGGAUUCAUCAAGAAAUAUUGUUUUCUUUUUUAGCACCAAUUUUAUCAGCAUGCAUAAUAACCAAUAGCUUAAUUUAUGAAGCCACGACUCUUAUGAAAAAGUUCUUCAAGUUUUGAGAGCGCCAUUUAUCGGUUCAAAUUGCUUACUUGAUCAAAAAGGGCUUUUGCAGGCUAUGGUUCAUGGCUAUGAAAGAAAGGAAAUUCAGGCUCAAAAGGUGUUUGAGGGUUUCAAAGACCUAGGAUCAACAUCAACUAUUCAUUAACUCUCUUUCUCUUGUUGUCAUAGUAGAGAAAGUGAUAUAUAACCUUGUUAAUCACAAAUAUCAUAAUUCUCUUAACAUAGGUCAUAAUGCAAAUCCAACUUUCUCUGAUGAAUAAUGAAUCUAAAAUGAAGACACUAAAGGCUUUAUCCUAGACACACCAAAAGACAUGAAACUUGAUUUUUUUGGUGUUGACUUUUGGCAUUUGUUGUGUCUUUCUUCCAUUGAAACCUUGUUUUGCCCCUCUUAGAAUUGAUAGGCAUUCUCCUUCAUUUCCACUUUUUUUUUUUUACAUAACCUUCCUCAAAGUUUUCUUGGAUGGCUCUCAAUCUAUGGCUUUUCUUGUUCUCCCUUUCUCAAUCAUUGGGCUUUUAUUCUAAGCCUUUCUUUUAUCAUUGAUUCUAUCAGUGUCUUCAUCCUUCCUAAUAACAUAUCUCUCAUUGCCCCCAGUGUGGGGUGUGAUCCUAGUCGGGGUUUUUUAUGAAAGGAAUAUUCUAUCCAGCUCAAAAUGGGACUCAAGGGAUAUAAUCUUUAGAAAGUGAAGGGAUAUCAAAGAUGGCAUUUUCUCAUUUCAAGCAAUGGUCGGUUAGAACCGAUAAAUUUUGACCUCGUCCAGUGUAAUGAUUUGGACUUGUAAGAAUCAUGAUUCACGAGUCCAUAACUAUUGAAUCCACUACAUGUCAUUAUGCAUACUGCUAAAACUAGCUAUAUGAUGUGUGGUUCAGUUUCAGGAGGUAUGAGUUCAAAAUUGUUUGGUCACCUCAUGUCAUUUUCAAGCAUCAAGUCAUUUCUGCAAUCAAAACACUUUUAAUGUUCAUGAUUAAACUUUGCAUGUUGGAGUUUGAUCAAACAUAUUUUGUCAAAAUACCCUUUGAAAGAAGCAUCUCUUGAUUUCAAAACAACAGGAAGACAAAGGAAAGACAUGUUUUGUUCAAGGAUGAGAUGUGACCCCAAAACAAAAUGCAAGAUGGCAAAAUCCAUAACAAAAAUGAUUGACAGUUUAACCCCUUCUUAGAUCAGCCUCUUUGGCAAUAUCUCUGUUUUGCCAAGCAAUUCCGAUCACUCGUCAUUCUGAGGAUGUUCUGGCGAUAAAAUGAUCGAUGACAAGCUCCUUCCCAGAUUCCUCUCGUCUUUUGCUCACCAACUUCCGGACUCGAUUCUUGCAAUUGUUCAAUUGAAAUGGCUGAGGACUCCACCAUGACAUCACAUCUCUUGUCUGGAUUAUACCACCUACAAAAUGGUGGUUGCAUGGGUUUUGUCGGAGUCAGGCAUUAAGUCUGGAAUCUGGCAGAUGCUAGUAAAUAAACCCACAUGGCAAAGGAAUGUCUAUCUUUGGCAAAGACAUUGGAGUAGUUGGUGCUUUGUGAGACUUGACUAAACCACAUAACUAUGGUUUCCCGUCUUCAGAGUCAUCUCCUGAUUCAUCUCUUCACAGUUCUGGAAUCCAUGGCAGAUCCUUCAAUCUUUCACUUCUUCAUAGCUCGCUCAAUUCUUUCGAUGAUCUUCACAACAUCAUGUCAUUCUUCCAAUGUUGUUGUGGUUUGUUGAGGGUUGUUGGAAAACUUCCACCAGCGAGGUAAUCUUGGCAGCGCCUACAAACUUGCAGCAUUGUCGCUGUCAAUGUGUGAAAUGAUGCAUUGUUCUUAUUGGAGGAGAAACACUGAAUAUGAAACUCCUUUGUCUCCUCUUCGAUCCCUCACUGACAGUGUAGCAAACAAACACCUGUAGAGGGAGCUCUGCUCUGUUGAAGUUUCAAUCUUCUUUCUAUUUUUCAGCCGAGGUUUGUCUCUUUUCUCUACUUUUGCAUUUUCAAGCUAACACUGAUGAGAGAAAAUUAUAGAUGAUCAGAAACUACUGCAUCCCUUCUUAGAUUCUCCACUUGCAGAGUUACAAACAGAUUUCUGUAGAGAGAGCUCUGCCACAUUGAAGUUUGAUGUGUGCUCAUGUUUUUCAGACCAGGUCUGGCUUUUCAACCCGCUACAGUGUCUUCGUACUGAAACUGAUGAGAGAUUUUUAUAGCAUAUGCAACUAAUAAAUCCCUUCUUGCAUUCCCAACUUGCAGAGCCAUAAACUGAUUUUUGUAGAGAGAGCUCUGCAACGUAGAAGUUCAGGGUCGAAUCAUGUUUUUUUUUCGGGUUUUUUUUUUCUCUUUUUUUUUUUAUCUUGUGCCGCUGAACUGGAAUUGAGCUAACAGUUGGGGUAAUGUCAAAGAAGGCUAACACAUCAUGCACAGAAGGCUAGCAGUUAUUUUGGUGCCAUUGAAGAUGUGGAGGUGAUGAACAAUUAACAGGGCAACUGACCAAGAACAAAAGUUGUCAUUAGCUGAUGACUUAAGGCAUUGCUGCAAUUAUUCAUGACUGAAAAGAGGAGGUGUAACUUCGAUGGGACAUGGACAAGCAGUGUUCCCACAGAAGACUGUGUAGACAUUCCCUUUUCCUUUGAUGCUCUACACUUGUUCAAGCAGAUCUGAUUCUAGCUACUUCACCUCUGAUGCUCUCAACUUCCUUUUGACAAUGAGCCUCUCUCCGACCACUUUCUUCGCUUCUAUCAUCUUUCUUCAUUCACGUGUAGCACAGCUUGUGUGGGGAAACCUAUCUUUCAACCCGGUAUAUGCAUGAUAAAUGUAUGAACAUGUAAUCUAUAUGAUGAACUCGCCCUUUGAGGGGUGACAUAUGGUCGUAACUCUUGUAUAAUGAAACAAGAAUCUUGAUUCUUGCCCAAACUUUACAAUGAAAAUUUUCUGAGUGACGGCCAUUGGGUCACCCACAAGUCUUGAGUUCAAGAUGCUUCAAGAAGAGUUUGCCCUUAUGCAAAACAAUGUAUACGGAGCACACAUCCUAAAGGCAGGUUCUAUUCAUUAUGUGAACAUGGGUAGGUUCUCUACCUGGUCUCAAAAGGGUCUCAUAUCUGCCUAGUGACGUUCUUCAUAAAGACAGUAUGGGGGCGUUGCAAGGAAUAGUUAAGGUACGUCUACCCACCAUUACCAAGCAGGCACUCAGAUAUGAGUUCGGUUUUUCACGCAUCUGAACCCUGACCAAUAGUCAUAGGGCAGAUCGUUAAUUCACCACCUAACUUAGAAGCUUGUGUGUGCUUUAAAAAAUAAAUACAGGUGAUGCAUGAAACAAUUCUAAAAAUACAUGGAUAAAACAAAAAUAAAACAAUACAAAAAUGCAAAAACUUAAACACAUCAAAUACACAAAGCUUAGUUCAAUAUUGUCAGAAACAGUACCUUCCCCAGUGGAGUCGCCAUUCUGUCGCACGUCACAAAAAUCCGCGCGGCAUCGGCUGGCGAUUUUUCAUUUGUUGUUUGCUUGCUUUGAUUUGUUGGUUGGAGUCGCCACCUAGUAAUUAAUUGCGGGCUACUAGGAAACCGGAUGUACUGGUCUUAUCAGAGAUUCGAGGGUAAGGGACUGGUUGUGGUUAGGGAAGGUAUUAGCACCCCUAACGCACCCUACCUGAGGUAAGCUGCUUCGUGACUUUGAUGUGUUAAAGAAGUUUUAAUAAUUGUCUUUUCAUCGGAUAUUAGAAAUACAACUUACGUAUAAGUUAAUAAUUCUUGACCGUGAUCCAAUCAAAAUAUUAAAUUCUUCUUUAAUCUUUACAAUUUUAUCUUAAAUAAAAAUAAAACAUCCAUAAAACAAAUACAAACACACCUAUACACUUUCACUAUAUUUUCUUUCUCUUUUCCUUUCCUUUUCUUUUUUGUUUUUUACAUACACAAUUUUUACAUGUAAAACAAAUAACAAAAAUUCAAAAUAAAUCAAAUACAAUAAUAUCUAAAUAUACACAUCAUCUGAAAGUUACAACAAAAAACACAAAGAAAUCCUCGGGAACAGUGCUGCACAGCCUUGGUGUCGUCUGAACAGUAGUGGCGCGUUGCUCCACGCGCCUCCGCCACUGGAGGCGCGUGGGUUCACGCGCCGCCGCCGAUGAAGACCGAAAACCAGUGGAUCGGGAACGUCUUCUUCUUCCCUGUCUUCCUCCGCCGGCGGUGAGGGUCACCGUCACCUGCAACAACAAGAAAAAACGCACAAAAAAGCAGUCGGUUUUAAUUCUUUUGUUUUGCAGAUCUGCUUCUCUUCGCAUCUCGAUUUUCUUUUCGUUUCCCCUUGUUUCUCUGUUUCAAGCGGCCGGCGGUGUGACCAUAGGGCUGCUGGCCUUUGGGUUUUGUCCGGUCUGCAGCUGUCGGUGGCCGGUGAACCUGUGGACGGCGCUGUGCAGGAGGAACUGGAGGAAGACGGCGGACAGAUCCAAGUCUGUGAGUGCCGCUGUGUUCGGGCUGGUCUGGAGGUUGUGAACGGGACUCCUGCUGCUGCUGCUGUGUGGCUUGAUGGAGGGAAAUCGGAGAGCUUGAGAGAGAGGGGCUCUCGGGUGAAGAAGGAGAUGGGAUGUGAUGUGGUUGUGGCUGUUGUGUUUUGUGUGAUGUGAGGCUGUGAGCGGCGGCUGGCUGAGAGAGGGAAGAAUGGUGGUUGGCUGGAACAGAGGGCGCGGCCGAGAGGGAGAGAGGCAGAGGAAGAUGGUGAGCGGCGGGGGAAAAAGGAGAAGGAAAAUGAAAGCCACCGGGGGCGCGCUGUCGAUUCUGGUUUCUUUUGGCCAAGGGGCUGUGAGCGGCUGCUGGGUGAGGGGGAGAUGGCCGGCUGUCAAGAGGGAGACGAGUGCAGGCGGCUGAAGAGGAAAAAUCUGCAAAACCAAAGGAGGGAGGGGGGCGGCGGCUCUCCUUGAAAAAAAAAGAUGGGUCUAGGUUUAGGUUUUUUGUAUUUUUUCUGAUGUUGUCAAAAUUGUCCCCCCC
rnacentral:lncRNA from 1 species